UACGUAGGGGGCAAGCGUUGUCCGGAUUUAUUGGGCGUAAAGAGCGUGUAGGCGGCCAGACAGGUCCGUUGUGAAAACUCGAGGCUCAACCUCGAGACGUCGAUGGAAACCGUCUGGCUAGAGUCCGGAAGAGGAGAGUGGAAUUCCUGGUGUAGCGGUGGAAUGCGCAGAUAUCAGGAAGAACACCCGUGGCGAAGGCGGCUCUCUGGAACGCAACUGACGCUGAGACGCGAAAGCGUGGGGAGCAAACAGG
rnacentral:rRNA from 1 species